rnacentral:rRNA from 1 species
UAAAGACGCAUGCAGGUGGUUUGUUUAAGUUCAGAUGUGAAAGACCCGGGGCCGUCAACCUACCGGAAUAAGCAUUUGUAAACUAGGCAGACUAGAGUACUGUAGAGGGGGGUAGGAAGUUUCUAGGUGUAGCGGUGAAAUAGCGUAGAGAUCUGAAGGAAUACCGGUGGCGAAGGCGGCCCCCCUCGGACAGAUACUGACACUCAGAUGCGAAAGCGUGGGGAGCAAACAGGAUUAGAUACCCUGGUAG